CGGAGCGUGGCGCAGCCUGGUUAGCGCACUUGUCUGGGGGACAAGGGGUCGGAGGUUCAAAUCCUCUCGCUCCGACCA
rnacentral:tRNA from 1 species